GCCCCUUUAGCUCAGCUGGUAGAGCGACUGAUUUGUAAUCAGUGGGUCGGGAGUUCGAGUCUUCCAGGGGGCU
rnacentral:tRNA from 1 species